rnacentral:rRNA from 1 species
AUUGAACGCUGGCGGCAGGCCUAACACAUGCAAGUCGGACGGUAGCACAGAGGAGCUUGCUCCUUGGGUGACGAGUGGCGGACGGGUGAGUAAUGUCUGGGGAUCUGCCCGAUAGAGGGGGAUAACCACUGGAAACGGUGGCUAAUACCGCAUAACGUCGCAAGACCAAAGAGGGGGACCUUCGGGCCUCUCACUAUCGGAUGAACCCAGAUGGGAUUAGCUAGUAGGCGGGGUAAUGGCCCACCUAGGCGACGAUCCCUAGAUGGUCUGAGAGGAUGACCAGCCACACUGGAACGGAGACACGGUCCAGACUCCUACGGGAGGCAGCAGUGGGGAAGAUUGCACAAUGGGCGCAAGCCUGAUGCAGCCAUGCCGCGUGUAUGAAGAAGGCCUUCGGGUUGUAAAGUACUUUCAGCGGGGAGGAAGGCGGUGAGGUUAAUAACCUCACCGAUUGACGUUACCCGCAGAAGAAGCACCGGCUAACUCCGUGCCAGCAGCCGCCGUAA